AUAAUGGUAUCUCCAGUGGAUCACAAAGGUGGUUUUCCCAGGGCGAGGCUCACUCAUUGCACUUUGGGGUGUGCUGACCCCUGCAAUUUCCUCAAAUGCGGGAAACUCGACUGCAUAAUUUGUGGUAGUAAAAAA
ensembl:snRNA Gm25514 predicted gene, 25514